GAUGAACGCUGGCGGCGUGCCUAAUACAUGCAAGUCGAGCGAACGGACGAGAAGCUUGCUUCUCUGAUGUUAGCGGCGGACGGGUGAGUAACACGUGGAUAACCUACCUAUAAGACUGGGAUAACUUCGGGAAACCGGAGCUAAUACCGGAUAAUAUUUUGAACCGCAUGGUUCAAAAGUGAAAGACGGUCUUGCUGUCACUUAUAGAUGGAUCCGCGCUGCAUUAGCUAGUUGGUAAGGUAACGGCUUACCAAGGCAACGAUGCAUAGCCGACCUGAGAGGGUGAUCGGCCACACUGGAACUGAGACACGGUCCAGACUCCUACGGGAGGCAGCAGUAGGGAAUCUUCCGCAAUGGGCGAAAGCCUGACGGAGCAACGCCGCGUGAGUGAUGAAGGUCUUCGGAUCGUAAAACUCUGUUAUUAGGGAAGAACAUAUGUGUAAGUAACUGUGCACAUCUUGACGGUACCUAAUCAGAAAGCCACGGCUAACUACGUGCCAGCAGCCGCGGUAAUACGUAGGUGGCAAGCGUUAUCCGGAAUUAUUGGGCGUAAAGCGCGCGUAGGCGGUUUUUUAGUCUGAUGUGAAAGCCCACGGCUCAACCGUGGAGGGUCAUUGGAAACUGGAAAACUUGAGUGCAGAAGAGGAAAGUGGAAUUCCAUGUGUAGCGGUGAAAUGCGCAGAGAUAUGGAGGAACACCAGUGGCGAAGGCGACUUUCUGGUCUGUAACUGACGCUGAUGUGCGAAAGCGUGGGGAUCAAACAGGAUUAGAUACCCUGGUAGUCCACGCCGUAAACGAUGAGUGCUAAGUGUUAGGGGGUUUCCGCCCCUUAGUGCUGCAGCUAACGCAUUAAGCACUCCGCCUGGGGAGUACGACCGCAAGGUUGAAACUCAAAGGAAUUGACGGGGACCCGCACAAGCGGUGGAGCAUGUGGUUUAAUUCGAAGCAACGCGAAGAACCUUACCAAAUCUUGACAUCCUUUGACAACUCUAGAGAUAGAGCCUUCCCCUUCGGGGGGGCAAAGUGACAGGUGGUGCAUGGUUGUCGUCAGCUCGUGUCGUGAGAUGUUGGGUUAAGUCCCGCAACGAGCGCAACCCUUAAGCUUAGUUGCCAUCAUUGAGUUGGGCACUCUAAGUUGACUGCCGGUGACAAACCGGAGGAAGGUGGGGAUGACGUCAAAUCAUCAUGCCCCUUAUGAUUUGGGCUACACACGUGCUACAAUGGACAAUACAAAGGGCAGCGAAACUGCGAGGUCAAGCAAAUCCCAUAAAGUUGUUCUCAGUUCGGAUUGUAGUCUGCAACUCGACUACAUGAAGCUGGAAUCGCUAGUAAUCGUAGAUCAGCAUGCUACGGUGAAUACGUUCCCGGGUCU
rnacentral:rRNA from 1 species